GGGCUGUCUUGUUUGACACGUUAGCGAUGGGUUAAUGUUAAAAGAAUUAUGCAUUGGCCCCAUUGCGUGGACAUCGGGGGCAGUGCCUCUGGAUUGGCAGACCAGGGUGGUGGUCCCCAUCUUUAAGAAGGGAGACCGGAGGGUGUGUUCCAACUAUAGGGGGAUCACAAAAUUUCUAAAAUUUGUGUGGAAUGUUAGCAGAGCGGCACCAACUCUUACAGGCCUACUUGAGUGAAGGCAGCUGUUUUCCACCACCAAAAAGACUUGGUAGACUACAGUCCUCUUUCUGAAUACAGAGUGUUUGACCUGUCACUAAUAGUUCUCCAUCAUGCCAUUCUUUGCUUGUAGAUGUCUGACCCAAGUGAAGAGAUUAGGGGAGCUAUUACAGCUGUCUUACCAAAUGUCCCCACUGAAAUUGUGAAGCAGAUUAUUAUUAAACUAAGUAGUCAACGAGUGGAAAGUAAAUUAGACCUUCCGUUUGUAAAUGAAGAGGACCUGAUGUGCUGCAGGAUGGGGAAACAGAAAUAGGUGAUGGUUAUUCCUCACUUCUUUCUCAACUCAAGACUCGAGUUGAAUACUUAAACAGAAAUAACACACUGGCACGUCACAGAAAAGGGAGAAGACACAGUUCUACUGACUCAGAAGGAAACACACUAGUUGCAAGAGGACCAAAGGAUAACUAUGGCUGUGUUAGGUGGCAGCCCACUGAUCUUCCACUUGGUGAAAAUGAUGAAAGACUGGAAGAAAAACGUCAAGAGAUGACAAGUCUGUACUUACAUGAUGGAGCAUCGGGGGCAGACAGGAGAGUGGUGUCUAGGUUAAUAGAGGUCACCUAUGUUGUUCAGCGCAGGGAGAUCAAUGCCAAACCUGCUCCCUCCAUAUCAGAACUUAAGAAAAGGUGGCCAUAUUUGUUUGUUCAAAAUUACCUUUACAGGCACUUCCAGCUAUUGACAGAUAUUCCAGUUUUGUCCAAGAUGGAACAGUCCUUCCAUGAAAAGGGGAAGAAUAUUGUUCAGUAUUUCAGAGCCAACCCAACAAAUGAUGUAAAGACUAUCCGCUCCCAGGUUGAAGAAGAUGCAUUGGCCCCAUAUGUCAUAAUGCUCCUAAUGGCAUACUUCAAGGAGAAGAGUGAUGCACUUUUGCAUCCAUGCAGAUGUUUCUGCUACUCCUGCUGUGGUAGAGACGACUUUCAACCUGCCAGAAACUCUGACUGAUUGUUCUUGGUGACACACUGAUGGCCAUGAAGAAGUGGAUGGUAAGCCUUGAGAGCCAAGUGGUUUGUGAGGAGCAAGGUUCACCCACAUCCCUUGUAUCUGGAAUUGCAGCAGUCUUCACAAGUUUCUACAACUUUAAUUUGGAAUAUCAAGAAGAAGCCGAAUUAACCCUUGAGUUUCUGCAAAGGUACAAAAAAAUUCAACUUUCAUAUAAGUAUAUUUGUUCUUUUCAGGGGUCCCAAAAGUAUUCAGUUUUGUUACUACUUCUCUUUCUGUUUGGUCCAGCUUAUUCUAUGCUAUGCUAUUCUGAAAGAACUUUUUUUUUCUUAUCAAAAAUCUUGUUCCUCGCAUGUUGAGUUACAUUAAAUGUAAUUUGGGAAAUAAUUAUGACAGCAAUAUACUGUUUUUGUAGAUUAACAAUUGUAACCGAGUGGUAAAAACUAUGGAAGUUGGUUUCUCUCCUUGCAUGGUCAAACUUAUUUUACCUUGUCUGCUGCUUUCUGUGAAUUGUGAAAUCAACAGACAGUGACUACCUGUAUUUCCCUGGAGUCGUCAGUAGGUGGUGUUGUAUGGAUUUCACCUGGGGAAUACGCAUGCCCUCCCGCCCUCAGAGGUUUUUUUAAGUGACGCGUAGCGAGCAGUGCGAGGGGAGUCACGCACUCCCCGUAACCGUGGACAUAUUUAAGACCAUCCAACGUAUUCCCACUGCCGUAUUGUACCGCGUGUAUUUGCGGAACAAAACAUUAUUUUGGAAACAUUAAGUGAAUAAACUAUAAAGUGAACCCGCUAAAAGUGUUCCUGGUGGUAAAUCAAAAUCCUCCGCCACACAUUUAUAGACAACAGUUAUUUAUACUUAUUUGAUUUUUAUAUUUAUUUGACUUCUGCAUAUAGAUGUUUUCUGGGCAUCAAUCCAGAAAGUGGUUCCAAAAUCUGCCAUGGGAAAGUUAUGAGCAAAAUGUCUGGAAGAGUGGUCCAAAAAAAGUCUGCAUCCCUUAAUCCACGUGUGGGCUCUCUUCUACGAAAACUAGCAGAUUUUGAGUGGCAUACAGCAUAGGAAUGGUAAGAAAAAUACAUUGUUUCCUAGCAAAGAAUAACAAACAGAGACCCUCAUUGUCAACUCUAAAACUUUAAAUUAACACAAUCCAAGUAAGGAAGUGUAAGGGAAUGCCAUUUUUUUUAUGUAAAGUUUACUAACUUGUCUAUUUAGUAUGGUCACACAGUAAAAAAAUACAACUUUUGCCAACCUUUUUUUCUUGAAAAUAGUGUUGUGUACACACCCACACAUUUCCAAAGCACUUAGCCCUGUUUCUCAAGGUCAGAGUAGUUCAGUAAUGUCUGCGUUGCUGGGCAGGGGACACCCCGGAAAUGUUGUCUGCUUAUUACAGGACACACACACACACCUGGCCAGUUUAGCAUUUAGAAUUCACAUAAGUAGUCUGAAAGAAUGCAAUGUUUUUAAAUGUUUUUCUUGUGAAUGUAACCAAAACCUUGUAAUCCACAGAUCUACUGAGUCAUCUCUUAAGAACAAUGGCAAUGUUGUGACAUAAUAUUUUCUUAAUGUUAAGGAAAAUGCUGUUAUGGGUUUUAUUUUAUGCAGUCACUUUAUGUAUAUUUUAUACAUGUUCCUAGUUUUAUUCAUGUUCUGCUGAGUAUAAAUAUUUUUUUUUAUGUUUGCAGACUUGCCAGCCCUGUCCAGUCAUGUUU